UACGGAGGGGGGCUAGCGUUGUUCGGAAUUACUGGGCGUAAAGCGCACGUAGGCGGCUUUGCAAGUUAGAGGUGAAAGCCCGGGGCUCAACUCCGGAAUUGCCUUUAAAACUGCAUCGCUAGAAUUGUGGAGAGGUAAGUGGAAUUCCGAGUGUAGAGGUGAAAUUCGUAGAUAUUCGGAAGAACACCAGUGGCGAAGGCGACUCACUGGACACGUAUUGACGCUGAGGUGCGAAAGCGUGGGGAGCAAACAGG
rnacentral:rRNA from 1 species